GAGAACGGGUUAUAGCUUGCUAUAACUGUCAGCUAAGUGGCGCACGGGUGAGUAACGCGUAAAGAAUUUGCCCUUCAGACGGGGACAACUAAUCGAAAGGUUAGCUAAUACCGGAUAUUAUGAGACCUUGGCAUCAAGGACUUAUGAAAGCUAUAUGCGCUGGAGGAGAACUUUGCGUUCCAUUAGCUAGUUGGUAGGGUAAUGGCCUACCAAGCCAACGAUGGGUAGCCGGCCUGAGAGGGUGAAC
rnacentral:rRNA from 1 species